rnacentral:rRNA from 1 species
AGAGUUUGAUCAUGGCUCAGGAUGAACGCUGGCGGCGUGCCUAAUACAUGCAAGUCGAACGCUUUGUCUUUAAUUGAUAUGAAGAGCUUGCUCUGAUUUGAUUUUAUCUGACAAAGAGUGGCGAACGGGUGAGUAACACGUGGGUAACCUACCUCUUAGCAGGGGAUAACAUUUGGAAACAAGUGCUAAUACCGUAUAACACUAACAACCGCAUGGUUGUUAGUUGAAAGAUGGUUCUGCUAUCACUAAGAGAUGGACCCGCGGUGCAUUAGCUAGUUGGUAAGGUAAUGGCUUACCAAGGCGAUGAUGCGUAGCCGAGUUGAGAGACUGAUCGGCCACAAUGGGACUGAGACACGGCCCAUACUCCUACGGGAGGCAGCAGUAGGGAAUCUUCCACAAUGGGCGCAAGCCUGAUGGAGCAACGCCGCGUGUGUGAUGAAGGGUUUCGGCUCGUAAAACACUGUUAUAAGAGAAGAACGACAUUGAGAGUAACUGUUCAGUGUGUGACGGUAUCUUAUCAGAAAGGAACGGCUAAAUACGUGCCAGCAGCCGCGGUAAUACGUAUGUUCCAAGCGUUAUCCGGAUUUAUUGGGCGUAAAGCGAGCGCAGACGGUUAUUUAAGUCUGAAGUGAAAGCCCUCAGCUCAACUGAGGAAGGGCUUUGGAAACUGGAUAACUUGAGUGCAGUAGAGGAAAGUGGAACUCCAUGUGUAGCGGUGAAAUGCGUAGAUAUAUGGAAGAACACCGGUGGCGAAAGCGGCUUUCUGGACUGUAACUGACGUUGAGGCUCGAAAGUGUGGGUAGCGAACAGGAUUAGAUACCCUGGUAGUCCACACCGUAAACGAUGAGUGCUAGAUGUUCGAGGGUUUCCGCCCUUGAGUGUCGCAGCUAACGCAUUAAGCACUCCGCCUGGGGAGUACGACCGCAAGGUUGAAACUCAAAGGAAUUGACGG